rnacentral:lncRNA from 1 species
CCGAGAAAUCAUGGAUCGAGGUGACAUCAACCUUCAGAAGAUCGAUGGAAAGGAGAAUCUGGCCGACCCAUUAACUAAAGCCAUUGCGGUAAAGGAGUUCGAAGAUCAUAAAAUGAAGAUGGAUAUACGAUACUGUACCAAUUGGCUUUAGUACAAGUGAGAGUUGUUAAAAAAUAUAUCUCAAAGCCAAUCGUCAGUCUGUUGACGAUUGUGCUAUUUGAUGU